rnacentral:rRNA from 1 species
GACGAACGCUGGCGGCGUGCUUAACACAUGCAAGUCGAACGGAAAGGCCCUGCUUUUGUGGGGUGCUCGAGUGGCGAACGGGUGAGUAACACGUGAGUAACCUGCCCUUGACUUUGGGAUAACUUCAGGAAACUGGGGCUAAUACCGGAUAGGAGCUCCUGCUGCAUGGUGGGGGUUGGAACGUUUCGGCGGUUGGGGAUGGACUCGCGGCUUAUCAGCUUGUUGGUGGGGUAGUGGCUUACCAAGGCUUUGACGGGUAGCCGGCCUGAGAGGGUGACCGGCGACAUUGGGACUGAGAGACGGCCCAGACUCCUACGGGAGGCAGCAGUGGGGAGUAUUGCACAAUGGGCGCAAGCCUGAGGCAGCAGCGCCGCGUGCGGGAUGACGGCCUUCUGGUUGUAAACCGCUUUCGCCUGUGACGAAGCGUGAGUGACGGUAAUGGGUAAAGAAGCACCGGCUAACUACGUG